AAUGAACGCUGGCGGCAGGCCUAACACAUGCAAGUCGAGCGAGCGGCGGACGGGUGAGUAAUGUAUGGGGACUGCCCGAUCGAGGGGGAUAACUACUGGAAAAGGUAGCUAAUACCGCAUACUAUCGGAUAAACCAUAUGGGAUGAGCUAGUGGGUGAGGUAAUGGCUCACCUAGGCGACGAUCCCGAGCUGGUCUGAGAGGAUGAUAAGCCAAACUGGGCCUGAGAAACGGCCCAGCCUCCUACGGAGGCAGCAGUGGGGAAUAUUGCACAAUGGGCGCAAGCCUGAUGCAGCCAUGCCGCGGGGAUGAAGAAGGCCUUAGGGUUGUAAAGUACUUUCAGCGGGGAGGCGUUACCCGCAGAAGAAGCACCGGCUAACUCCGUGCCAGCAGCCGCGGUAAUAC
rnacentral:rRNA from 1 species